rnacentral:rRNA from 1 species
CAGCGCCGCGGGAAUACGUAGGUCCCGAGCGUUGUUCGGAUUUAUUGGGCGUAAAGCGAGCGCAGGCGGUUAGAUAAGUCUGAAGUUAAAGGCUGUGGCUUAACCAUAGUACGCUUUGGAAACUGUUUAACUUGAGUGCAAGAGGGGAGAGUGGAAUUCCAUGUGUAGCGGUGAAAUGCGUAGAUAUAUGGAGGAACACCGGUGGCGAAAGCGGCUCUCUGGCUUGUAACUGACGCUGAGGCUCGAAAGCGUGGGGAGCAAACAGGAUUAGAUACCCGGUAGUCCCUGUCUCUUAUACACA